rnacentral:rRNA from 1 species
GAUGAACGCUGGCGGCGUGCCUAAUACAUGCAAGUCGAGCGAACAGACGAGGAGCUUGCUCCUCUGACGUUAGCGGCGGACGGGUGAGUAACACGUGGAUAACCUACCUAUAAGACUGGGAUAACUUCGGGAAACCGGAGCUAAUACCGGAUAAUAUAUUGAACCGCAUGGUUCAAUAGUGAAAGACGGUUUUGCUGUCACUUAUAGAUGGAUCCGCGCCGCAUUAGCUAGUUGGUAAGGUAACGGCUUACCAAGGCAACGAUGCGUAGCCGACCUGAGAGGGUGAUCGGCCACACUGGAACUGAGACACGGUCCAGACUCCUACGGGAGGCAGCAGUAGGGAAUCUUCCGCGAUGGGCGAAAGCUUGACGGAGCAACGCCGCGUGAGUGAUGAAGGUCUUCGGAUCGUAAAACGCUGUUAUUAGGGAAGAACAAAUGUGUAAGUAACUAUGCACGUCUUGACGGUACCUAAUCAGAAAGCCACGGCUAACUACGUG